CUAUUUUUUAAUUUUGUACAGGUUUUUUGAAACAUACAAUUAGUGAUAAUAAGGGUUGGCAAACAAAACUGAUAUAAACUAAAAUUGACAUAAUCUUUAUUCAGAUUAAUAUUUAACAACUUUAACAAUCGAUCUCUCAAAACUGUUUAUAUCACAACAAAUCAUUACAAUUUGUCAUACAAGCAUUCUAUAAAUUUCUGGCAUCAAAAGUUUCUGUCACCUUCUUAACAGCUGUUGUUGUUAGAACAAAACACAUUUCAAAAGUAAAACUCAAAUAAAAUAUGUUAAGAAAAACACACAAUAGAUAUUUAUGAUUUAAAUCCAGUGCAUAUUCAAAUUUGAAUAAUGGUGAUUAACAUAAUUCCAUUCAAAAGAAACUAAGUAGAAAACAGUGUCCAAUAGUUUCCAAAAUUGUCUAAGACAAAGAUCUUUGUGUGUUCUUUUAUAAAAUGUUCAUAAAGAAAUGUAAGCAUGAGGUCUUUAAAAUUCUAUUUUUUGUAUUCCUAGUGGAUAUAACUCCUGUAAACUAGUUGACAUGUGAUGAUUUUUAAACUCGUCAACACUAAAAAUCUUGCAAGAAUUGCAUGUUUGAGAGCCCUUACAAUAUGGACUGUCACAGGGAUGGACACUUUUUUUAUAUAUACAAAUAGACCAGUAGUUUGGCACUAAAAAAUGGAGCAUCAUUAUCUAACAUAAUGAGAUGACAAAAAUUAACUCAAUGUGUUGUUAAUCUGUACCUAAAACAUUUAUGUAUAGAAAUAGAACAAUGAUGUUCAACUUAGACACAUAUAGACAACUUACAGUGCUUAUUUUAAAUGUUUCAUCAUUCGACCAAAAACAAAUCUUUAAACUUUUUUUCAAAGGAAUCUUCUCAUACUGAUCAACUGGGGGGGAACUUCAGCGAUUUUUUUUACACUGUAUAAUUAUGCUUCAUAUUAACAUUAUCUUCCUUAAAAUACCUCAACAUUUUCCCCAGAUGAUUACUUUAAAGAAAUGCCUCGAUGCUGCAAUUUAAAAGAAUAUUUUGGCAAAUUUGUAUUAUGAAAUUACAAAGCAUUUCAAAUAAGCACUGUAGUUUAUAUUACAAUAUUAAGAUAUCAAUCUGCAUACAAUAUUACAAUUACUCAGACACAACAUAAAGUUCAUUCAUUUCCCUAACCACUCUUAAAAGAUUUAUCAUUUUCUGGUUACAUAAUCUAGACAGCUCAUCAACACUUUAGAGAAUAUAAAAUACUAAAUCGCUUGGUCAAAUUUUAAACUUAAUUUUCUAAAAUUCUGUUCAUCAUCAAUCUUAACAAUCAAAUUAACAUGGAGCUUCUGACAAAUACAUAAAAUGCAUGCCAAGCACAAAAUUGUUUAUACGAUCAACAAUUGGAACUGUUUCAAUGCAGUAUAAUAAUCAUCAAUUUAAAUGAUUUCUUUCCUUUUUCUCUGUUCAUUACUAAAAUCAUCUCCUUUAUACCUGUUAGUAAUUUCUUUAACAUAUAUAUUGCUCUUGUUUUUAGUAAAACAUAUUUUAUAACAAUAUGUCACUCUUCAUUUGAAAUUCAUAAUCCCUAAUACAAUAAGUCAGAAACAAUUCGCAUUUGAUAUUUUGAUUAAUUUACAUCCAGGGACAAAUAUGUGAUGCAGUUGGAAGAAGGGAAAAAUCAGUACUCUUUUAACAAUGAUAUCACAAGACUCCAAAAACUUCAAACACUCAAAACCAUAAAAUAAAAUCAAAACGAUCAAAAACUAUGAAGGUAUAAUACAAAAUGAAACCUCCAAUAAUCAAUUUAUGAUUAUUCUUUAGAAUUUUACUGAUGAAGUUUUAUCUUUAUGUAAUCCAAAAAAAGUACUAAAAAACUAGAUGAAACAUAAUGAAUAUCCUUUAUUCUAAAAAAAAAAUGUAGUUUUUUUAAAUUUUUACUUGGAGUUGGAAUGCAUUGUUCAAUGCAUUUGUAUUUCAAAAGGAAGGAAUUUUAUAUAUUUUAUUUACUAUAUUUAGAUUACGUAAAAUAAAAGCACCAAGUAUUCAAAACCAUUUGUACUCUAAAGACAUCUUAUAAUAACUAACAUCUAAUCAAGUUUUGACUAUUAUUUUGAUAUUGUUAGUCAAUAAUGUUAUCAAAUUACAAUGAAUCUUUUUUUUUUCUAUCACAAAAUUGAGAACAGCAUCUUCUUAUAUCUUUUUGUAGAAAAUCUUUUGAAAUUUGAGAUAUCUGAAGUUAACACCAUCAAAAUCCAAAGAUAGAUUGAUUCAGAUAAUGAGUCGAGUGAAGCCAAUAAGGGAUAUACAGUCGACUCUCGUUAUGUCGAAGUCAGCCGGACCAGAGAAAUAUUUCGAGAUACACGUAGUUCGACUCAAACGAACACCGGAAGUUCGACAAUCUAAGGGACACAACUCUUGUUAGC
rnacentral:lncRNA from 1 species